GGGAAAUUAGCAACGAGGUUGGGAAAGAAAAUAAGAAAUGAGGUAACGAGGAUGUAGAAGUGAACUACCGUUGACGUCUUCCGUUUUGAGUCAAGAAGGCAACCAUGUUUUUUUUCUUCCGCCCCUCCACCCCUGUUGGGAUAUUGGCAAGUUGUCAUGACGACAGGGAUGUUCUGCUGAUGAAGUCCCGCUCCUCGUUGUCCAAUCAGAUUGUGGAGUCUAAAACUGCAGUACGAAACAGGAGAGGACGCACCUAUUCCAGUUGCACAAUGCCGAGAAAGGACAGCCCGAUCCUGGACCACCUACGGACGGAAUGGACGAUUUGGGGGAGACCGUCAAUGGGGCCGCCAUGGCUCGACAAAACACAGCGGGGGUCGAGGAUGAGGGGCUGCCAGGCUAUGGCACAAAGGACCACUCUAAUGUUGACCCAUGGUAAGGAGCUGUCAGGAGAUUGGAAGCGGCCCAGUGUGGGCCACUGGGAAUGGGUUCUGUCUGGAGAGGCUUGUCAAGGAACCAGGCUUGUGUCUGGAUGACAAUGGGACAAGGGGACAUCUGGACCAGUCGACGUUCUUUUUCGGUCCAGACUGACAUCGGCCAUCUUGAAAAGCUACCAUGCUGUCCUGCAGUGACGAUGUUGUGAACCUCAAGUCCCUUCACUACUAUAGCAGGGGACAGAGGAAGAUGGACGUUCAAACAACACAGACAAGAUGCUGAAAGAGGUUCUGGGUUCUCUGCUGGAGGCACAGGAUUUGUGGCUGACCUACAUGGGAGUCCUGGAGCGCUGUAUCCUUCCAUAAAAGCUACAAGCCACCAUCUACCUAGCCAGCUUCCCC
ensembl:lncRNA